rnacentral:rRNA from 1 species
UACGGAGGGGGCUAGCGUUGUUCGGAAUUACUGGGCGUAAAGCGCGCGUAGGCGGACCUGCAAGUCGGGGGUGAAAGCCCGAGGCUCAACCUCGGAACUGCCUUCGAUACUGCGGGUCUCGAGUCCGGGAGAGGUGAGUGGGAAUUCCUAGUGUAGAGGUGAAAUUCGUAGAUAUUAGGAAGAACACCAGUGGCGAAGGCGGCUCACUGGCCCGGUACUGACGCUGAGGCGCGAAAGCGUGGGGAGCAAACGGG